GCCUGGGUGGCUCAGAUGGUUGAGCGUCUGACUUCAGCUCAGGUCAUGAUCUCAUGGUCUGUGGGUUCAAGCCCUGCGUCAGGCU
rnacentral:tRNA from 1 species